ACACAAAACACACAACAAACACACAAAAUGAAUCUCUUCAUCAUCACCUUCAUGUGGAUUCUUGCUGUUUUUAUUCAAGAAUCCAGAGGAGUUACUGUAACUCAGAGUAAAGCUGAACCUGUUUCUGAGGGUCAAAAUGUAAAUAUAAAGUGUACAACUAAUCCUGGAAUAGAUGGCUGGGGUUUAUCUUGGUAUCAGCAGAAACCUGGAGAAGCUCCUAAACUCCUCAUUACUGGAGUAGAUAGUCGUUAUGGUGACACUCCAGAUCGAUUCAGGGGAAAUGGAGCACAUGGUGGUACAGAUUUCACUCUGAGCAUCAGUGGAGUCAAGACUGAAGAUGCAGGACAUUAUUACUGUAUGAGUAGACACCGCAUCAGUGGUAGCUAUGUGUUCACACAGUGAUAAAGAGUCGUACAAAAACCUCCAUCAGUCAGACACACACUGACACACACACACAUCAGUGAGGAAGAUUUAUCUUAUUAAUAAAUUGUGUUUGUCCAAAUUUAAAUUAUUAUAUUAUAAUAGAUUUAGAUUAUUUAGGCUUUCAAUGAUUGUUUUUUUCAAUGAAUGUCGGGCAGUACACAGAAUUUUGGAGAUUUCUUGCUUUUCAUUUGAAAGCAUUCAUUCACUUAAAAAUAUUAAUUCUGUCAUUACCUCACUCAUUCUAAACUUGAUGAUAAAUGUGUUUGAGAAACAAACAGACAGAAUCACACACAGCUGCUCAUGACUUCAGAAGAUUUUAAAGAACAUCCACUGAGUUUUUUGUCGGAUGUAAAACAGUUACUAAAUGUCAAUAUGUGCAUUUUUAGGCAUCUUUCUCAACACUAAAUAAGCUUUAGCUGAUACGAUAAGAGUAGAAUAAAAAACUUUUUUUAUUUUGAUCUUUCAUAAA